rnacentral:rRNA from 1 species
UACGUAGGUGGCAAGCGUUGUCCGGAUUUACUGGGCGUAAAGAGCGCGCAGGCGGUCGUUCAAGUCGAGUGUGAAAGCCCCCGGCUCAACUGGGGAGGGUCACUCGAUACUGAUCGACUCGAAGGCAGAAGAGGGAAGCGGAAUUCCCGGUGUAGUGGUGAAAUGCGUAGAUAUCGGGAGGAACACCGGUGGCGAAGGCGGCGACCUGGGUCGAGACUGACGCUGAGGCGCGAAAGCGUGGGGAGCAAACAGG